rnacentral:lncRNA from 13 species
AGAGACAGCAAGAGAGCAGGAGGGUCAGGGGGCAUGGAGGCAACAGGGAGACUGGCAGAGGGAAGUGUCCUGAAAGCCGAGGGAAGGAGAAGGGAGUGGCCACCCAUGUGCAGUGCUGCUCUAUUGAGUAAGUCUGACCUGAUGCCUCAAGCAAGAGAACAAGGUCAGCAAAGAGCUGUCCAGGAAUGUCCAGCCCUCGGUGCCUGGCAGAGGGUAUCAAGCAUGGCAGAUGUUGGAAUGACGUCUUCUGUGUGUUCGGAGCGGACUGACUGAGUGUGGAACCAUCACCAAAGAGAGCUCAGGGAGAUUCAAGAGCUUCUGGCAAUUUGAGAAACUUCCCUGGCAGAGAAUUUACUUCAAGUCAGAAAUCUCCCCAAUAACUUCAAAGUCCUGCCGGUAAUGAGGAAAGAGAAGUGGACCCAAAAUACUUCCUUCAGUCUGCUUUUCAGUUUGUUCACGAAAUUGGCUCACCAGGUAAAUGAGUCUUGUUCAAGAGCCUGCCAUGCUCCAGAACUGCGGACCUAGCAGUGAACAGAACCAGUGCGAUCUGGCCCUCACGGAGCUUCUCUGAUAUGCUUUGGCUCUGUGUCCCCACCUGAAUCUUACAUUGAAUUAUAAUCCUUACGUGUCAGGGGAGGGACCUGAUGAGAAGAGAUUGGGUUAUGGGGUGGAUUCUCCCCAGCCUGUUCCUGUGACAGUGAGCGAGUUCUCACAAGUUCUGAUGGUUUAAAAGUGUGGCACUUGCCCUUUUGCAAGCUCUCUCUCUCCUUCCUGCCACCAUGUAAGACACGUCUUGCUUCCCCUUUGCCAUAAUUAUUAGUUUCCUGAGACCUCCCCAGCCAUGCAGAACUGUGAGUCAAUUAAAUCUCUUUUCCUUAUAAAUUGCUGUCUCAGGUAGUUCUUUAAAGCAGCGU